AGAUGCAGUCGCCUGGCUAUCUUCCAGCUCUCUGUAGAUCCAUACUAAUUUCCAGAGGUCUUUCAGUGAAGCAAGCUGACUAGAGGAAGAAAAUGAAGGGUGCUUUUAUUUCUCCUGGCGAAAUAUGGGAAAAGAAAAUCCCAACUCAAAGGUAAAACAUAGUGGGAAAACAACACAGUAAAAAAACAAAACAAAAACAGAAACAAUAAAACCCACAUUCCUCCUGCACACCAGCUCUUCAACAGAUAAAUAAUGUUUAUAUUCCAAAUUUCCCAUUAUUAUACAAAGCACAUUUCUUCCUGCUCUUCAGCUUGUUUCAUUCUGGAAAUUCUGUUGUCUUAAAAAUGCAAGCAAUGAAUAUUUUGCCAAGAUGUUUUUUCCUGUUUUGUGUUUUAAAUCAUCCAUUUUUAAGAUGAGCAAAGGGCUAUGCGACCGACCUGCACCUGCUUCCUGCUGCAAUAAAGUGCUGGACAGAAAUUUGCCAUUUUAAUGACCACAAAAUGCUUUAAAUAAGUAUAAAGUUAGCCUCCUAGCAGGCUACAUCUACCUAGCAGGCGUUAACAAAAUGGAAUACAGAAUUACUAAUACAUGAAGGGUAUCUCCAUCACCAGAGGCUCUGCGAACAAAAUGGACACUUCUCGGGGGCAUAAAACUGAACCAUAGGACUAAACAGCACCUUUUAGUUGGGUCCUUAUGUGUCAAAGAGGUUGUGGCUAAAAUUUCAAACAUACAGUCUACUCAUCCUGUUAAAAAAAAAAAUAACAAAACCAAAAAAAAACAAAAAA